UUGUAGGAAGCGGUAUCUUCCCAGGUCAGAGCGUUUUCGUGGCGGGUCUGUAAAACCGUCGGCUCAGCCUACCCAGGUUCGAACCCUGGACCUGCCACCA
rnacentral:tRNA from 1 species